rnacentral:rRNA from 1 species
AACGAACGCUGGCGGCAUGCCUAACACAUGCAAGUCGAACGAGACCUUCGGGUCUAGUGGCGCACGGGUGCGUAACGCGUGGGAAUCUGCCCUUGGGUCCGGAAUAACUCAGAGAAAUUUGAGCUAAUACCGGAUGAUGACGUAAGUCCAAAGAUUUAUCGCCCAGGGAUGAGCCCGCGUAGGAUUAGCUAGUUGGUGAGGUAAAGGCUCACCAAGGCGACGAUCCUUAGCGGUCUGAGAGGAUGAUCAGCCACACUGGGACUGAGACACGGCCCAGACUCCUACGGGAGGCAGCAGUGGGGAAUAUUGGACAAUGGGCGAAAGCCUGAUCCAGCAAUGCCGCGUGAGUGAUGAAGGCCUUAGGGUUGUAAAGCUCUUUUACCCGGGAUGAUAAUGACAGUACCGGGAGAAUAAGCCCCGGCUAACUCCGUGCCAGCAGCCGCCG